rnacentral:lncRNA from 1 species
AGAUGCAAGGAAGAAGAGGGACUUUUCUGCCAUGCUUGGGAACUAGAAGAGAGUAGCAAUCAUAAUGCUCAUUAUGAACCAUUGAUUGAUUUACAUGACCCUCCAGUGAUAUGCAUCCUCCAAUGAUACAUCCUUCAGCUUGGAAAGAGCCAAUUCAGACAUUAAAGACUUUAAGGAGUUAGAAAAUGCAGACCUUGAUGGUAUCUCUCCUGGUCCAGGUCUUCAGGGGUUCCUCUAGUCUUCAAAUCUGGGAAUGAAGAGGAAAGAGUACACUGAGCAUCUCUGAAUAGUGUUGGAGAAGUACUGACCCCUCCCUGUGUCCUCUCACUCAUCUGCCAAAUGGGGGAUCGAAGGAGUCUCGGGGGUGAACGCCCCUGACCAGGCUUGGUUUGACUUGAGGAACUUGACUCAUCCCUUCUUGCUUCAAUUCUUAGUUCAUAAGAUGGGCAUAAAGAUCCCAACUUUUCCCCUCCCCAGCAGAGCUAGAAGGAUCUGCUCAGACGAAUUGCUAUGCAAAUGCAUAGAAUCAGCAGCAAGCUUCAGCACAAUUGAGAAGUGAUUUCUAAAAUACCCAGGGCCAUUAGGAUUUGGAAUAGACAUGACCCAGAGGCUUUUUCUUAAAUACCCCACCAUGGGUUUUCAGUUUAUUUACCAAGACUGGAAAUCCAGACCACAAAAUUUGGACCUUCCUAUGGAGAACACAGAAUGCCAAUCACUUUCAGAGCAAGGAGUGAGCCUAGCACUGAGACUGGCAGUUUAGGGUAAGAGUCUCAUGACAGGCUGAAUUACGUAACUCACAUGUACCUGGACAAGUCUGGCUUUGACUGUCUGUACUUGAAGAUAAAAUCUUUAUAAAGAUGUGACUGAAUGGCAAUGAGAACAAAACUGGAGUUACAGGUGGGCCACUAAUUCAGUGUGACUGUUGUCCCCACAAGAUCAGGAAUUUUGGACAUAUCAAGAGAUACCGGGGGCUACACAUACAUAGAGAAGGAGCUUGUGACACUAGGUGUGCUGACACAUGCCAGGAGACAGUCAGGGGUGAUUUUUAAUAUUUCACACAACAGGGGAUCAAGAGUUGGAGGUCACCUUCUGCUUACAUUCUAAGCUCCAGACCAGCUUGAAUUACAUAGUGAGACUGUCCUCCAAGCAACAACAAUAACAACAACAACAACAACAACAACAACUACUACUACUACUACUACUACUACUACUACUACUACUACUACUACUACUACUGAGCACAUAUGGAUAUUGAGAGGAUGGCAUCAAAAAGCCAUGGAGAGAGAUCUAAAGAAAUACCAACUCUACCCACACCUGAAUCUUAGACUUUUAGUCUCCAAAAGCUCAAGAAAAUAAAUGCUUAUUGUUU